GAUGAACGCUAGCGGCAGGCCUAACACAUGCAAGUCGAGGGAGAAGCCCUUUCGGGGGCAGAAACCGGCGCACGGGUGCGUAACGCGUAUGCAACCUACCUAUCACAGGGGGAUAGCCCGAAGAAAUUUGGAUUAAUACCCCAUAAUAUUAUUGGAUGGCAUCAUUUGAUAAUUAAAACUGCGGUGGUGAAAGAUGGGCAUGCGUCCUAUUAGCUAGUUGGAGUGGUAACGGCACCCCAAGGCUACGAUAGGUAGGGGUCCUGAGAGGGAGAUCCCCCACACUGGUACUGAGACAGGGACCAGACUCCUACGGGAGGCAGCAGUGAGGAAUAUUGGUCAAUGGUCGGAAGACUGAACCAGCCAUGCCGCGUGCAGGAAGAAUGCCUUAUGGGUAGUAAACUGCUUUUAUAUGGGAAGAAUAAGGUGUACGUGUACAUUGAUGACGGUACCAGAUGAAUAAGCAUCGGCUAACUCCGUG
rnacentral:rRNA from 1 species